rnacentral:rRNA from 1 species
CCUACGGGCGGCAGCAGUGGGGAAUAUUGCACAAUGGGCGCAACCCUGAUCCAGCGACGCCGCGUGAGCGAAGAAGUAUUUCGGUUUGUAAACCUCUUUUAGCAGGGAAGAAAAUGACGCUACCUGACUAAGAUGCCCCGGCUAACUACGUGCCAGCAGCCGCGGUGAUACGUAGGGGGCAAGCGUUAUCCGGAUUUACUGGGUUUAAAGGGAGCGUAGACGGAAUGGCAAGUCAGAUGUGAAAUACCGGGGCUCAACCCCGGGACUGCAUUUGAAACUGUUAAGCUUGAGUGUCGGAGAGGUAGGCGGAAUUCCUAGUGUAGCGGUGAAAUGCGUAGAUAUUAGGAAGAACACCAGUGGCGAAGGCGGCCUACUGGACGAUGACUGACGGUGAGGCGCGAAAGCGUGGGGAGCAAACAGGAUUAGAUACCCCAGUAGUC